GGAAUUCCACAAGCUCAGCGCACAGAGAAUUUUGAUGAAGAAGAUGGGUUACACUCAAAUGUCGAUAUGUUCAAAGACAGGACCACAUUGUCUUCAGAGAUCCAAAGCUAAAAGUCAAUCAUGUCCAUUUAUUUGCUUCAAAUGAAAAACAAAUCUGGGUUGUCCAUUUAAGUAGAAGUAUGAUAUAAAGUAUUAUAAAUCUAGAAGGUUCUUUUACCGUAUGUAGUGUAUAGGUUAAUAUGUGUACAUAUUAAUUACUCUAUAUUCUUUCUUAGGAUUCUUUUGGGCAGUUAGAGAUAGACAAAUAGUGAUAGGACACUUGUACCAAGCAUAAUAGAUUUUAUUCCUUUUGCCUUGUAUAAAUAAUUGUAGACAGUAUGAAUGAAAUACACAACAAAAUUCUGCAUUACAAUCUCUUUUGUUUCUUUUAUGGUAUUAGAGCAAAAGUUCUAGAUCCUAUCCUGUUGCUCAAGUCUUCUUCUUAGUCUUCUUCAAUGGAAGUCACUGAUGAUUCCUCUGCUACACUGCCUACUGGAAGUCCUUCAACAGUCUAAUCCCCUCAAAUCACUAUCUCAAAUGAUAGCUCUCUUUUACCUUCGUCCUUCAGAUUCACCUGGGAUGAUUCUUGUCAAUUCCAUUUUUGAUGGAAAGGGCUAUGGAGGAUGGCGUAGGGUAGUAGUCAUAGCUCUCUCGGCUAAAAGCAAUGUUGGGUUCAUAGAUGCAAUGAUCACAGAGCCACCUGCAGAUUCACCCUCUUUCAAGGCAUGGAAUCGAUGCAAUUAUAUGGUAAUAUCAUGGCUGCUCAACUCCCUUUCGAAGCAGAUUGCUGAGAAUGUCCUUUACUCUAAAACUGCUAGGGAAAUUUGAAAAGAGUUGGAAGAUAGAUUUGGUCAAAGCAAUGGAGAUUUGCUUUAUCAGCUGCAAAAAGAACUUAGCGAUUUAGUUCAGGGAAGUUCUAAUACUGCUGGUUAUUACACAAAGUUUAAGAAAAUCUGGGAUGAGUUAGACAGCUUUGAUACAUGUACUCACUGUAGUUGUGAAUGCUCAUGUGGAGGAAAGAGCAGAGCUCUAAGAUUUUAGCAUGAUGGGAGGCUUAUUCAGUUCCUGAUGGGGCUAAACGAUGCUUAUUCAGGAGUGAAGUGCAAUAUCCUCAUGACCACACCUCUUCCCAGCAUCAAUCAUGCUUACUCACUCUUGAUCUAGGAAGAGAAACAGAAAGAAAUCCAGGUUGUACAGCAUCCUCUUGACUUUGCUUUCUUGGCCACAAAGCAGCAAUAUGGAGGUCAGAAGUAUACUCAAGCAAAUAAGAGAUGAAGUUUUGAGGGAAAGAGAAACACAGUGGUAUGUUCGUAUUGUAAGAAGCCUGGACAUUCAGUAGAGAAAUGAUACAGAAUCAUUGGAUUUCCUGCAGAUUUUAAAUUCACUAAAACAAAAGGUUUCAAGGAGGUGUCUAGGGAUAUGCAGCAGCCACAACAGAUCCUAAUUCUGAACAGUCAAUCUAUGGUUUGGAGAAAGGAUUCACUCAAGAUCAAUAUCACACUCUAUGUCAGCUGCUUCAACAAGCUAAAUUCACACCACAAGGAGACAUCAGCUCAGAAGUGAAUGUGACUGCAAAUUGUGUAGGUAUACCUAAACACUCUUUCUCAAAAAUUGCUAACAAUGUUAUUUAGAUCUUAGACUCAGGAGCAUCUGAACACAUGACAUGUGAUCUUAAUCUUCUAUUCAAUAUUAGAACCUUAGUCAAGCCAGUGUUUGUUAAUCUUCCUAACUCACAAAGGGUUAGGGUCACUCAGGUAGAAAAUGUACAAGUUCUUCCUGAUCUCACUCUGAUUAAUGUUCUUUUCGUUCCUACUUUCAAGUGUAACCUUCUAUCAGUUCACAAACUUUGCCAGCAUGUUAAUUGUCUACUCAUUUUUCAUUCUAUUGGUGCAAUUUUACAGGCCCCUUCAAUGAAGAGGCCAGUGGUUCUUGGUAAAGAGAAACAAGGGAUUUAUUUACUCCACACCAUCAAGCCUAGUAGCAGUUUGAUUGAUUCCAAAAAGGACUAUUGUCCAAUUUUUUCAGCUUCUAAGAAGGACUACUGUCCAGUUCUCUCUAAGUAUGUUAGGGAUAGUGUUAAGUCUUUAGUUUCAAUUUCAUGUUGUUCUUCAUUUUCAAAUGAUGUAAGCCUAUGGCACUUAAGGUUAGGGCAUUUGCCUUAUUCAAAUAUGAGAAAUAUCUCUUCUAUUUCUUGUUCUACUUCAGAUAAUUUAAUCAAACAUUAUUAGAUAUGUGCCAAAGCUAGACAAGUAAAGUUACAUUUCCAAUCUACUACCACAUCAACAAAGGAAAUUUUUGAAUUAAUUCACAUUGACACUUGGGGACCCUAUAAAGAACCCACUCAUGAUGGUUUUAGGUAUUUUCUCAUAAUUGUUGAUGACUUUAGUAGGGGAACUUGGACUUAUCUUCUUAGUACUAAGUCUAAUGAUUUUACCCUUUUAAAAUAAUUUCUUGCCGUGGUGGAAAGACAAUUUGGAAAGAAGGUCAAAAUCAUAAGAUCAGAUAAUGCCUCGGAACUUGGGAGUGGAUUAGAAAAUUCAGCAUUUCUUUCUUCUCAAGGGAUAAUACAUCAAAUUAGUUGUGUUCACAUCCCACAACAAAAUGGGAUUGUUUAAAGAAAACACAAGCACCUUUUGAAAACAUGCAUGGCACUUUUAUUCCAGUCCAGACUUCCUAUUUCUUUUUGGGGAGAAUGUCUAUUAACUGCUACCCAUCUCAUUAAUAGAUUUCCUUCUAAGGUUCUUAAUCUAAAAUCUCCUUAUGAAGUCCUAUUUAGUGUACCGCCCUCAUAUCACCCACUAAGAGUUUUUGGUUGCCUUGUCUAUGCCUGCACACUAACUCCUCACAGAUCAAAGCUUGAUCCAAGAUCUGUGCCUUAUGUAUUUGUAGUAUAUCCAGUAGGAAAGAAAGGAUACAAGCUCCUAAACCUCCAGACCAUGAAGAUCUUUGUUUCUAGGAAUGUCAAGUUCCAUGGAACUAUCUUCCCAUUCAUCUCUGUUACAGGGAAUCAGACCAUUUUCCCUUCUUCAUCAACACAACCUACUGAUUGUAUCUAUAAGGAGCUUUCAUCACAUUCUGAUACUCAGAAUGUUUCCUCCUCAGUUCCUAUUGCUUCUUCUCCUAUGAUUCAUUCCACUUCUCCCUCUAAUUCUUCCCCUUCCUCUUCUUCUCCUAUCCCGCAUUCACCCUCUCCUAAUCCUAUUCCUUUUCCCCGCUCUCCUAUUCCACCUCCAGCACUUGAACUUAGGAGAUCUAAUAGACCACACAUUACCCCCACCAUAUCUUUCUGAUUAUGUUUGCAACCCAUUGAUUUUAACAGACCUUACUGCUUCAUGUUUUGCCACUUCCAUUCAACCCACUAGAUUGCUUUUCUCUGCCUUGUCUCAAACAAAUCAAUCUUUACUUAAAACUAUUUCAUAUACCUCAGAACCUACUUCCUAUUCCCAAGCAGUUUUACACCCUAGAUGGCAAGAGGCUAUGGCCAAAGAAUUUGAGGCCUUGGAAGCAAAUAAGAGAUGGGAAGUUGUUCUUUUACCAGCAGGAAAGAAAGCAUUACUGUGUAAGUGGGUGUAUAGAGUGAAGUAUAGAUCUGAUGGUUCUUUUGGAGAGAUACAAAACACGUUUGGUGAUUAGAGGAGAUAUUCAACGGGAAGGGAUAGAUUUCAAUGAGACCUUUUCCCCGGUUGUAAAAAUAACAACCAUCAGGUGUCUUUUUGCCAUUGUUGUUAAGAAGAACUGGGAAGUAUUUCAAUUAGAUGUCAAUAACGCAUUUUUGCAUAGGGAUUUGCAAGAAGAAGUUUUUAUGAAAUUCCCAGCGAGAUGCAGUUCCCUUCACCCAAUCAUGUGUGUCUUUUAAAGAAGUCUCUAUAUGGUUUGCGAUAAGCCUCAAUGCAAUGGUAUGUUAGGCUUACAACAACUUUGAAUUUUAAAUGGUAUUCUCAUUCACUCAAUGACUACUUGUUAUUUUUUAAGAAAUCCGCAGGGAAAGUUACUAUCAUUGCCGUUUAUGUCGAUGACAUUCUAAUAACAGGGGAUGAUUUAUUAGAGCAGCAUCGUUUGAAGGAGUUUCUUAAUUGUGAAUUCAAGAUCAAAGAUAUCGGGCAAGCACACUAUUUCCUAGGCAUGGAAAUCAUUCGUGAAGAAAAAGGUUUCAUUUUGACUCAAAAGAGAUUUACCUCAGAACUAUUGACUGAAUUUGGGGUUCUUGACCUCAAGGCCACUGCAUCGCCCAUUGAUCCCACUCAAAGACUCAGCCUUCACACUGGCGAUUUGAUUCUAGACCCAACCUUCUAUCAAUGACUUCUAAAAAAGUUGAACUUCCUCACUGACACGCGGCCUGAUCUGUCCAUCGCCGUGAAAUAUCUGAGCCAAUUUAUGUAGUCUCCACGCCAACCUCACUUGAAGCGCAGCUUUUCACUAUCUGCGUUAUCUUCUCUCAAAUCCUGCAAUGGGUCUUUUGCUCAACCCUAAUCCAUCACUUCGCCUUCUUGCUUUCUGUGACUCCGACUGGGGACAAUGUCCUGAUACUCAUCGAUCUAUUAGUGGAUUCUACAUUAUCCUUGGGGGUUCGCGGGUCUCCUAGAAAUCAAAGAAACAACCUUUAGUUUCUUUGUCCUCUACUGAAGCAGAGUACAGAUCCAUGAGACGAGUGGUCGCAAAAGCUACCUGGUUAGUUCGAUUGUUCGAAGAUCUCUCUAUUUUACCCUUUCUGUCGGUUCAGCUUCAUUCCGAUAGCGAAGUUGCGAUUCAUAUUGCCAAAAAUCCAGUAUUCCACAAAUGUACGAAGCACGUGGAACUUGAUUGCCAUUUUGUUCGCCAACAAUUUCAGGCGGGAAUCAUUUCUUUAUUUUUUGUCCCUUCCCAUUAACAGGUUGCCGAUAUUUUCACAAAACCCUUGUCCGGUCCAAUUCACCGCUCUAUCAUCGGCAAGUUGGGCUUAACUUUGUCCCCAUCCAACUUGAAGAGGGGUAUUGGCGUUGGAAUUCCACAAGCUCAGUGCAUAGAGAAUUUUGGUGAAGAAGAUGGGUACACUCAAAUGUCGAUAUGUCCAAAGACAGGACCACUUUGUCUUCAGAGAUCCAAAGCUAAAAGUCAAUCUUGUGCGUUUAUUUUCUUCAAAUGAAAAACAAAUCGGGGCCGUCCAUUUGAGUAAAAGUAUGAAAGAAAGUAUUAGAAAUCUAGAAGGUUCUUUUACCGGAUGUAGUGUAUAGGUAAAUAUGUGUACAUAUUAAUUACUCUAUAUUCUUUCUUAGGAUUCUUUUAGGCAGUUAGACAUAGACAAAUAGUGAAAGGACACAUGUACCUAGCUUAACAGAUUUUAUUCCUUUUGCCUUGUAUAAAUAAUUGUAGACAGUAUGAAUGAAAUACACAACAAAAUUCUGCAUUA
rnacentral:lncRNA from 1 species